GACGAACCGUGCGAACGUUAUUCGGAAUCACUGGGCUUAAAGGGCGCGUAGGCGGGUUGCCAAGUCGGAGGUGAAAGCCUGCAGCUCAACUGCAGAAGUGCCCCCGAUACUGGCAGUCUCGAGUGAGGUAGGGGCAUGUGGAACUUCCGGUGGAGCGGUGAAAUGCGUAGAUAUCGGAAGGAACGCCGGUGGCGAAAGCGACGUGCUGGACCUCAACUGACGCUGAGGCGCGAAAGCCAGGGGAGCGAACGGG
rnacentral:rRNA from 1 species